UGCAGACAAUCGAGUGUCUUUUGUGCGCUAAACCUUAUCUCCUUUGCCUUCUUCGCUAUCUUACAGCACCGAUCAACCCCUUUGCUGUGUGUGGUUCCCUCGAGACGUGGCGAUAAAUACCGCCACAGAACCAUGGGCACCCGUCCGCUGCCAGGCGUUUACACAAAAAGCUAAUAAAUGUAAAUCAUAUUCAUCACGACAGUUUCACCCUCAAAAGUGCCUCCCGUUUCGGUAUCGAUGUAUGCCCGGUACCGACACUAACCACCACCCUGCUGUUGUAGCAGUGCCGAUGCAGACAGGCUUAGAUGGGAAGCAGACAAGGAUAAACCGUCCAGCGGUAGCGACCUUUCAUCAGAACCCAACCGCUGGUAGUAAUAGUUGUUCGCCGGUGCCCCACAAACCCGGGACAAAACCCCGAUGGCCGGGGGUGGUCUGGUGGGCACCGUAGGUUUUGAUGUAUGAAGGGCAGCUGCGGUGAAAACAUUCCGCUACGUCCGUAUCACGUAAAUCACCAUCACGCGGGGACUCCAUUAGGGUAUUGUGCAAAAGCUGCUGUCGAUUGUCGUCUGAAAUCCAGGGAAAAAGCUAGUGAAUUAUGGCUACCGGAAGAGUGAACCUGCAAAUAAACCCUGCGAAAUUAGUUCUGGCCCUUCGAGGCUCAAGCUCAAGAGACGGAAACAGCAAAAAAAAAACCCUCAAGCAAACCCGUUCAUCAGACUAUCCUCAAGUGUCCAGUUCACCAUCCAAUCAAUCGUACCGACGCUGUACACACGGCGUACCGCGAGCUAGCAGGCUCAUUGCUGCCACGGCUCCACACAAUGCUCCCGGAAGCUGCUGUAACCAUCGGAAAGAGAAAACAGCGCUUGGUGGUGGAAAAAGCCAUUAUGAAAACCACAAUAAAUUCCCCGAUGUCAUUUCGGAGGAAAAUUCAAAUUACAUUCGCUGCCGGGGCUGCAAGUUGGGCAUGAAAUUCGAAUCGUUUUGCGUUGGCCUCUUCCAUUGGCCUUUCGGUACUGGCCCUUCCCUUCCCCCCGCCCCCCUUGGCCACUUCCGCAGUGAGCAAAAGCCAACCGGGAGAAAAGCCAUCGCACUCGCGCAUAACACUAAUGCCUCGAAGACGUUUUGUCAUUUGCCGAUGUGCUGGUGGUUGGUGUUUUUAUUUUAUUUUUCGCUUUUGUGUGUGCGCUUUAUCUCUAACUUUUCUUCCAAUUUCGGGGAAAAUCGGGAUGCGCUGCGACAACCCCGGAAACAGUCCCGCAUUGAAGUGGGGUUUCGAAGGAAGCCGGAUCGGUGGUGGGCUUCGAACUCAUUAGCAUUGGACAGCAAUGCUUUUUCUUCUCUCUUACCAGUUUCUUCUUCUGAUGCUUCGAAGGCCAUUCGGGACGGGAAGAGGAGACAGGGAAUUAAAAAGCGAGAGAGCGUGAGGCAUUAAAAUUUAUCGCAAAUUUAAAAAGGAAAUGCCAACCGGAAACGACAACCGGGAACAAAAGCGAACCAGUGUGCCCGGGGAAAACCGACGUUUUCCAUCCAUUAUGGAAUGGAUAGCGAGCGAGGAUUGGGGAGGCUUGUUCUGCACGGUGGAGAUGCAAGUGAGUAGAGGAAUAGAGCAACGACGUAAUGUUGAAGUAAACUUUAAGCUAUAAAUUAAAUAAAGAAACUAAUAUUGCACAUUGCAGAUUCAGGGUAAGACGUUUGGGGCAAAGGAUUGAGUGUGGGGAAGUAGG